rnacentral:ribozyme from 1 species
CUCCAGCGACGAGCUCACACCUCACCGUGGUGCUGGAAUCCAGUAGUCUAAAUUUUUGGAGAUGGACGAAGCUAAGAUGAGC